rnacentral:lncRNA from 1 species
UUUUUUUUUUUUUCUAAACUGAAAAUGUGACCCAGUUUUCCCAUUGGUUCUUUUCCCUUUCAUGCUAAUUCACGUGAUAGGUGGUACUGAUUUACUAAUUUACCCAGUGGGAAUAAGUACCUUGCAUGGGGAGGAGGUAGGUAGGAAGGAGAGGCUUUUCUGUGGUCUUAAUGGUGGGGCCCACAGGUGGAGAAAUGCAUUCACAGAAGCACUGUGGUGAGAGAGCAUGGGCUCCCCUGCACCUGUAGGCAGUUGGAUGUACCUGGUGGGAGUGUGUGUGCACAUGGAAGGAGAUAAAGUGCAAGACCACUCCCGAGUAGAUGAAGGAAUGAUUGCAUGUACAAGUCCACGGUCUUUCCCUGGGGCAGCUGUUCCCUCACCAAGCAGACUGUUUUUUCUCUGCCCCUUCUUAGCAAGUCGAAGUUUCAAUUAAUAAUCUCCUACUCUGAGAAAUCUCUCAUCCUGGGAGGAAGGGAGAUAAUUGGCAUCAGUGUUCUCUUAUAUUGAGGCUGAGUAGUCAGUGUGAAUUCUAGACAUGGUUCAUGUGUUUGGAUGAUCAGCACAGCUGUUCGUAAUAGGUAACCUAUUUUUUCCCUCCAUAUCUUUUUUGGUUAGGGUGCUGUGUCUAAAAUUAAUGGCUGCCAGUAUUUUUUUGCCUUAAUGCAUGAAUCUUUAAACUAGCCUGAACUUCGUACCCUCUCUCAUAUGAAUCAGGUCUACUACAAUUACCCCCUUCUGUGUCAUUUCCUAGGUUCGUGUCCUUGUGUGAAACAUUAAAUGCAGGACAGAGUUGAAAGUGUCAAGUGAUAACCAGGCAGAAAACUGACGGUUAACAGGCCCAUCUCCUUGAGUUGUUAUCUCAGAGGCUUUCAUGCCAAAAUCUUACUUAUAUAAACGUUACCUGAAACGAGAUAUGUGCUGUUCAUAGAUAUAUUUCACUGUAUCUGGCUGUUCAGUAAUUCAUCUUCAUUUUGGAUAGUGUGUACAUUUAUUGCAAUGAGCUUAAUAACAAUUAUAAUACAAUGACAGUUUUCUAUUAAUGAAUAUUCAGCAACAGGCCCAGUUCUAAGCAGGUGUUGCCCAUUUAUUCCUCACGCCAAGCCCUGGAAGUAGUUACUGUGGGUGGUACCACUUUUUAUAUGAGAAAACUGAGGCACAGAGCUCUUAAGUAACUUACUCCAAGUCCUCAGUUAAGAGUCAGAGUUGGGAUUGGAACCCAGGCAGUCUGGCUCAGAAUUUUUGCUCUCAAUCUCCAUGCUGUAAUGCUUACCCAUUGCUUGAAACAAAGAGCUGGUUGUAGCAUCAAAUAUGAAGAAUGAGACCCUUCAAGUUUUUCUCUUACAAAAUGUAAGUAAUUGCCUGUUUUUGUAUGUGUGUAUAUAUAUUGUUGCAUAGCUUUUGAGAAACACUGACAAACAGUAAGACUAAAGAAAUUUCUUAAUACCUCAUUGCCUAGAAGAAUUUUGACUGUAUGUGAGUGCAAAAGAUUGUUGGUUAAGGUUAAUUUUAAGUGUAAUAUGUUUUAGAAUUUUGUCAUACUCAUUGUAUGUUUCCACAUGUUCAUAUUCUUAGGGAGACUGAAUUAAAAAAAAACAGCAACAAAAAUUCCCCUGCCCCUUGUGCCAAAAACAUGAUUAUGAGGUCUCUGUGCCCAGAUGACGUGUUUUGUUAUCUGAACCAAGAACAUAAGCUUAAUCCCUGCAGUGACCACAGAUUUAAGCUCCAGUACCUUUUUAUUUAAAUGAAAAAUUUUAUUUAUUUUUGUUUUUUGAAGUGAACAGGCCUUCUUACUGACAUUUUUGUAAGUAACUGCUUAUCUCUUGGUUUAGACCGUAGAUACUAUCUCGAAGAGUUAGCAUUUGAACUGUGUGCAGUUUUGUCCCAGAGAACUGGUCUGAGGUCUAGGGUUUCUUCAGGCAGGAAUCCAGGGUUGUGAAAACAAUGGGGCUAUUUAUUCAUGUCACCUGGAGGGCAGUUAACAUCCUGCCACUCUCAGCUGGUCUGAUACACUAACGUCAGGGGUGUGGGGUGGCCUGGACGUUUCUUAAGAGUUUUCUCAUGAGUGACUCUGCUCACAUAAAUUGUAGGACCAGACAGAUUAGUUUGUGAGCCUGAAAUCAUUCUUGGCCCAGGGUUCGUGACACUUUUCAGUCAACCAGAGCUGUUCUGAUAUUUGAGAUUUGCUGAUAGCUCUUGGUUCAGAAAAAGGUUUGCAUUUCUGAGCUGCUUUUCUAUGAUGGGGAUCAUCUUAAUUCUUAUCUGUGAGAUUGAGCUCAAGGAAAUAAGUGAGAACUGGAUUCAGCUGUUUGGGGACCCUUGCAGACCAUGAGCCUCUUAGUGCCUGAUGGGACAGCCAACAGGUCUUAGGUGAUGGUGAUGACGGAGAUGGUCUCUAGCCAGAACCUGCUAGCACAAGCCCUGAUGAAUUGACAGUGAGGCCUGCUAUCAGACUUUAACACACUGCAAUAACAACUAUAGGCAAAAGAAGGUUAGAGUGUUGCUAUGUAUUCUUACAUUUCCUCCUCCACUGCAUUGUUUUCAAUAGGGUAUUGAAAUCAAAUGUAAACAGAUAAUUGGCUUAAGCGGGACUGUACUGAGAUUACUUCCUUCGUUCCAGUGUGAGGUUUUCCCUGCUCUGUGGCAGCUCCAGGCACUAAAUAUCUACCACCCCCACCCCACCGCCAAACUGCCCAGUAGCACAUCUUAGGCUAAUCUGAGUAUUAUGAUUAUUGGAGGGGAAGGCCAUACUGGUGUUUUAGAAAGCUCUCAUCAUGAAUGUGUUUUAGGGUGAGCAGUACUUACUAACAGAUGAACAGCUUGAAGUUAAGUCAAACAAAACCUUUAGUGUUUGUAAGGGACAAGGAUCCAGGGUGUGUAUGAAACUUAGCUUUAUGUUGACACAGGGACUGUACAGAAGCCAUGGGAACUUCGAACUCACGGACUUGUAGGAUGGUUGUUGGCUAGGGUCUUGGGUGGGGAGAUGCAUGCCUUCAAAGUUGUCAAAGUUUUCCUAUGGAAAUUUCUAGACACUCGUGAAUGACUUAAACACCUUAGAGUAUUCUUGGUCUUGUCAGCUGACAAAUGGAGGUUUGAACAUGGGUGUUCAAUGGGAUUUGAAUGUAGUUUUAUUCAGGGAAAGAGAAACAGGGCGUUCUGGGUGUUGAGGAUGCAAAUGACAUUACCGUAAGGGCUUGCUUUCCACUUUGGACUAGAUAAUCCAUGGUAUUGUUGAGUACAGGGCAUCACAAUUUUAACAGCCUGGCUUCCUGAGAAGUUUCAGUUCUAGCACAGUCACCAUAGGCAGCAACACUGUUAAAUAAACAAAGGUUUAAUUAAAUAGAAAAUGCUUAAACAGAGCAAAAUAUUCCUCUGUGGCUAGUCACAAAUUGGACAACUCAGAGAACAAAUUGUGGAGGAAUUGCCAAUGGAUUACUUUUUCUGUUCCCUGUGUACUGCUAUGUUUUUCUUCUUGGUGUCAAGUCUCAAGUUGAAUUCAGUCAAUUAUCUAUACCAAACAAAACGUGCAUCAAUGGCUCUUCUGUUACUGUUGCUUCUAUUUCAUCACUAAACAAAGCUAGUUUCCAUUCCCAGCUUCUUCCUUUGGGAGCAUAGAGAACUGACAGUUGGAUAUUGUGGAGGUUCUGUUUUCACUUUGAAAGCAUAAUGACUGACUUAGUUAUUUAAAAGUUUAUUUUUUUUUUUUUUUGGUUGCUAAUGUUAGACUUGCUGCAAAAUUUCUUAAAGGAGGCACACCAUUUGCUGAGGAUUUUAAAGGAUUUGUCAUUAGGUAAAGUAUGUCGAGUAUCUAAGGGUGUGAUGUUGGGGUUACCUGUGGGUCAAUUCCAUUUUUUUCUUGCUUUUCUAUUUCAAUCACUUCUUUAGACUUACAAAUGCUUUACACAGAUCCAUUAAGAAGUACAAAUUUGGAAGUAUGGUAUAGCAAGUAGAUGAUGUAACUAAUACUUCAAAAUGUAAU